AACCUGGUUGAUCCUGCCAGUAGUCAUAUGCUUGUCUCAAAGAUUAAGCCAUGCAUGUCUAAGUAUAAAUAGUAUACAGUGAAACUGCGAAUGGCUCAUUAAAACAGUUAUAGUUUAUUUGAUAGUGCACAUUACAUGGAUAACCGUGGUAAUUCUAGAGCUAAUACAUGCGCAAAUACCUGACUCACGAAAGGUAGCAUUUAUUAGAUUUAACCAUCAUAUGGUGAAUCAUAGUAACUUGGCGGACCGCGCUCCGGCGUGGUAAAUCAUUCAAGUUUCUGCCCUAUCAGCUUUCGAUGGUAGUGUAUUGGACUACCAUGGCAGUCACGGGUAACGGAGAAUUAGGGUUCGAUUCCGGAGAGGGAGCCUGAGAAACGGCUACCACAUCUAAGGAAGGCAGCAGGCGCGUAAAUUACCCAAUCCCAAUUCGGGGAGGUAGUGACAAGAAAUAACAACCUGAGUGGUUCGCCACUUCGGGAUUGCAAUGAGAUAAGUCUAAAUCCGUAAGCGAUUACCAAUUGGAGGGCAAGUCUGGUGCCAGCAGCCGCGGUAAUUCCAGCUCCAAUAGCGUAUACUUAAGUUGUUGCAGUUAAAAAGCUCGUAGUUGAAAAUCGAAUCAGCUUCAUUAUGGCUUCGGUCAUACUUGUUAGCUGGUUCUCCGUCUACAAACCUUUUUGCUCUUUUACGAGUGCAGCUUGGAGAGUAGACAAUUUACCUUGAAAAAAUUAGAGUGUUCCAGGCAGGUCUUCGCCGGAAUACAUUAGCAUGGAAUAAUGGAAUAGGACUAUGGUCUUUUGUUGGUUUUAGGGCCAGUGUAAUGAUUAAUAGGGACAGAUGGGGGCAUUAGUAUUUAAUUGUCAGAGGUGAAAUUCUUGGAUUUAUUAAAGACUAACUUAUGCGAAAGCAUUUGCCAAGGAUGUUUUCAUUAAUCAAGAACGAAAGUUAGGGGAUCAAAGACGAUCAGAUACCGUCGUAGUCUUAACUAUAAACUAUACCGACUCGAGAUCGGAAGGUGCUCAAUAAGGCCCUUUCGGCAUCGUAAGAGAAAUCAAAGUCUUUGGGUUCUGGGGGGAGUAUGGUCGCAAGGCUGAAACUUAAAGGAAUUGACGGAAGGGCACCACCAGGAGUGGAGCCUGCGGCUUAAUUUGACUCAACACGGGGAAACUUACCAGGUCAAAACAUGGAUGGGAUUGACAGAUUGAAAGCUCUUUCUUGAUUCUAUGGGUGGUGGUGCAUGGCCGUUCUUAGUUGGUGGAGUGAUUUGUCUGGUUAAUUCCGAUAACGAACGAGACCUUAACCUGCUAACUAGUUUGUACCUAAAAAAGGUAUAUAUCUUCUUAGAGGGACUAUGUAUGUUAAAUGCAUGGAAGUUUAAGGCAAUAACAGGUCUGUGAUGCCCCUAGAUGUCCUGGGCCGCACGCGCGCUACACUGACACGUUCAGCGAGUUUAAUCUCCUAUCUCGAAAGGGUAUGGGAAAUCUUGUUAGGACGUGUCGUGCUGGGGAUAGAUCUUUGCAAUUAUAGAUCUUGAACGAGGAAUUCCUUGUAAGCACAGGUCAUCAGCCUGUGCUGAAUACGUCCCUGCCCUUUGUACACACCGCCCGUCGCUCCUACCGAUUUCGAGUGAUGUGGUGAACUAUCUGGACUGUGGACGGGCUUGAACCGUUCGCGGGAAGUUUCGUAAACCUUAUCACUUAGAGGAAGGAGAAGUCGUAACAAGGUUUCCCUAGGUGAACCUGCAGAAGGAUCA
rnacentral:rRNA from 1 species